GGCGCUUUACUGCUUAUGUGCGCACAUGUUUGGGGACGUGGGUUUCGAUCAGGCACAGUUGACGUCAACCAGUGAAGGACCCCGCUUUAUAAAACCUUGGAGAGCCAUUCCUUCGUCCUCUUUCGUCUUUUGAGCGGCACUUGAACGGCUGUGAUCCUGUAGAAGCUAGACGGGUCACAUUUGUGACAAAUUGAGUAACAGAACUGAAAUGGAAGUAUUCGCUCAUGGAGAUUUUCAGAUGACUUCUAGCAUGCAAGAUUCCCACAUCGGCGAUGGGUGACGAAAGCUUUAAGGAAUGUAAUGACCGUCACAUUACCGUUGGAACAAAUCCUCUGCCUACAUAGUAAUGUUUGCAUCUGUGUUUAUGGUGCAGUUUGCCAAACGAUGAUUUGAAACUCAACGCAGUAUGGGUACACCAGGCAGCAAGGCAAUAAAGUUGUGUCCUAUAAAAGACAGAGACGUACUCAAUCGACGGGCUGCAUAAUGACGUCAUGGAAAGCUCGUGACUAGGAUGGAAGGACGACAACCUUUUAAGUGCUGAUUGUGGGGCACUCAACAUGACUACAGUUGACAUGAAAAGAUGGGAAAUAUUUGAGCUUCCUGUAAAAUUUUGGUUGACUGCAAUGUCAAAAAUGCCUUUACAGCUGUCGAAGCAAAUUUGGCGAGUUUGGUUCAAGGUGCCAUCUUGUUUACUGUUGUGUGAAAUUUGUAACUGAAUAAAAUGUCAUGAAUCAAGUGUAUUUGGUUGGCUGAUUUAUUAUUGUGAAUAAAUCAUAUUUAAUGGUCA